rnacentral:rRNA from 1 species
AUGAGACAAGUUGUUGCUGAUUAUUGGUGGGGUAGAGAAGAUGGUAAGAGGAAACUUCACUGGCGUUCAUGGGAUUGGUUAUCCACACCAAAAAAGCUUGGUGGACUAGGUUUCUGUGAUUUUCCGCUCUUCAACCAAGCUACGCUUGGUAGACAAUGUUGGAGGCUUCUUACUGAGCCAGAUUCUCUUUGUGCUCGGGUUCUCAAAGGACGCUAUUUUCCUUCCUGUGAUUUUUGGGAUGCGCCCAAGCCUAGAUCGUCAUCCUAUACUUGGAGAAGUAUUCUCUAUGGCCGAGAGCUUGUUAAGGCUGGUGUUCGUUGGGGAAUUGCUAAUGGCCAAAAGGUUAAAAUCAUGACAGAUCACUGGAUUCCCGGACGACCACCGCAUAUGUUGCAAACUCUAUUUCCAAUUCCAGAAUAUGCUAAAGUGUGUUCUCUCAUGGAUGGACAUGGUCAUUGGAACGAAGAAAAUGUCAGAGCUUUCUUCCCAGAGGAAACUGUUGAACUCAUAUUACAAACACAGAUUAGCAGCCAUGGAGGAGAGGAUUUUGUGUAUUGGCCUCAUACUCGCUUUGGACUAUAUAUUGUCUGUUCAGCAUACAAUCUUGCUUGA